AGACUCCCAUCCCUCACGAAUCCCAGCGGGCGAUGCAGGCGAAGAAGCUGACGCUGCUGCAGACGGUGGCGGCCGCGGGAGUCUUCUCCGCCGUCUCCUGCUGGUAUGGCUUCAUGUUUGGAAGGGAGUCCGCGCGGCGAGAGCUUGGUGACAUCAUAGACGACCUCCGCAAAUCCACCACCACCUCAACCACUUCAUCUGAACCCGAUGCUAAUUCCAAGCCAUAUGUGGAUGUUGUCAUGUAGACAUAUCCCAUGGUUUCAUGUUACUAUUUCAGAUGAAGGGAACUUGCUACAAUGUGAUGUCUAGACAGUCUAGUGUUGUCCUGGGGAAACAAAUUUCUGGCUGGCUCACUGCCCUGUUUUGAAGCCAUGGCAGGCAGCAUUCACUGCCACAUUGAUAUUCAGUGACCAAUCAGCUAGGGUUGGUGGUUGAUUGGAAACUGAUAUUUGCCAUCAAGCAAUAGGAUUUCACAUUGAUUUGAACUAAUUGGCUGGUAGAGUUUUCAAGGACUGAGGAGACCACUGGCAGUAAAGAUUUUUUUUUUCUUGCACCAAAGAGCUACAUACAUGGAAAAUUGAAUUUGGCAGGACAGUAAUGAUAGGGCAAGCAUGGAAGUAAUUGGAGCCAUGUGUUUAAGAUCACAAACCUUCAAUCUUCUAAACAACAUGUAAGAUAACCAAAGAACUAAGGUGGUAAGGUGGCUGUUGGUGAUGAUCAUUGUGGCACUGGUGUUAGCACAUUAUUUUCCAUGUAUGUAGCUCUUUGGUGCAAGAAAAAAAAAAUCUUUACUGCCAGUGGUCUCCUCAGUCCUUGAAAACUCUACCAGCCAAUUAGUUCAAAUCAAUGUGAAAUCCUAUUGCUUGAUGGCAAAUAUCAGUUUCCAAUCAACCACCAACCCUAGCUGAUUGGUCACUGAAUAUCAAUGUGGCAGUGAAUGCUGCCUGCCAUGGCUUCAAAACAGGGCAG